UAAGGAAUCUUCCACAAUGGGCGAAAGUCUGAUGGAGCAACGCCGCGUGCAGGAUGAAGGCCCUCGGGUCGUAAACUGCUUUUAUGAGUGAAGAAUAUGACAGUACCUGAAAAACAAGCCACGGCUAACUACGUGGCAGCAGCCGCGGUAAUAAUCACU
rnacentral:rRNA from 1 species